GAUGAACGCUGGCGGCGUGCCUAAUACAUGCAAGUCGAGCGAACGGACGAGAAGCUUGCUUCUCUGAUGUUAGCGGCGGACGGGUGAGUAACACGUGGAUAACCUACCUAUAAGACUGGGAUAACUUCGGGAAACCGGAGCUAAUACCGGAUGAUAUUUUGAACCGCAUGGUUCAAAAGUGAAAGACGGUCUUGCUGUCACUUAUAGAUGGAUCCGCGCUGCAUUAGCUAGUUGGUAAGGUAACGGCUUACCAAGGCAACGAUGCAUAGCCGACCUGAGAGGGUGAUCGGCCACACUGGAACUGAGACACGGUCCAGACUCCUACGGGAGGCAGCAGUAGGGAAUCUUCCGCAAUGGGCGAAAGCCUGACGGAGCAACGCCGCGUGAGUGAUGAAGGUCUUCGGAUCGUAAAACUCUGUUAUUAGGGAAGAACAUAUGUGUAAGUAGCUGUGCACAUCUUGACGGUACCUAAUCAGAAAGCCACGGCUAACUACGUG
rnacentral:rRNA from 1 species